AUCCAACUGACGAGUCCUAAAUAGGUCGAAAUGCGCAUCCUGGAC
rnacentral:hammerhead_ribozyme from 1 species